rnacentral:rRNA from 1 species
UACGUAGGGUGCAAGCGUUUAAUCGGAAUUACUGGGCGUAAAGCGUGCGCAGGCGGUUUUGUAAGUCUGUCGUGAAAUCCCCCGGGCUCAACCUGGGAAUUGCGAUGGAGACUGCAAGGCUAGAAUCUGGCAGAGGGGGGUAGAAUUCCACGUGUAGCAGUGAAAUGCGUAGAGAUGUGGAGGAACACCGAUGGCGAAGGCAGCCCCCUGGGUCA